AUUGAACGCUGGCGGCAGGCCUAACACAUGCAAGUCGAGCGCGCGGCGGACGGGUGAGUAAUGUCUGGGAAACUGCCUGCUGGAGGGGGGUAAAUACUGGAACCGGUAGCUAAUACCGCAUACCAUCAGAUGUGCCCAGAUGGGAUUAGCUCGUUGGUGGGGUAACGGCUCACCAAGGCGACGAUCCCUCGCUGGUCUGAGAGGAUGACCAGCCACACUGGAACUGAGACACGGUCCAUACUCCUACGGGAGGAAGAAGUGGGGAAGAUUGCACAAUGGGCGCAAGCCUGAUGCAGCCAUGCAGCGUGUAUGAAGAAGGCCGUCGGGUUGUAAAGUACUUUCAGCGGGGAGGCGUUACCCGCAGAAGAAGCACCGGCUAACUCCGUGCCAGCAGCCGCGGUAAUUC
rnacentral:rRNA from 1 species